AUUGAACGCUGGCGGCAUGCCUUACACAUGCAAGUCGGACGGCAGCGCGGGUGCUUGCACCUGGCGGCGAGUGGCGAACGGGUGAGUAAUAUAUCGGAACGUGCCCUAGAGUGGGGGAUAACUAGUCGAAAGAUUAGCUAAUACCGCAUACGAUCUACGGAUGAAAGUGGGGGAUCGCAAGACCUCAUGCUCCUGGAGCGGCCGAUAUCUGAUUAGCUAGUUGGUGGGGUAAAAGCCUACCAAGGCGACGAUCAGUAGCUGGUCUGAGAGGACGACAAGCCACACUGGGACUGAGACACGGCCCAGACUCCUCCGGGAGGCAGCAGUGGGGAAUUUUGGACAAUGGGGGCAACCCUGAUCCAGCAAUGCCGCGUGUGUGAAGAAGGCCUUCGGGUUGUAAAGCACUUUUAUCAGGAACGAAACGGUGAGGGCUAAUAUCCUUUGCUAAUGACGGUACCUGAAGAAUAAGCACCGGCUAACUACGUGCCAGCAGCCGCAGUAAGAC
rnacentral:rRNA from 1 species